rnacentral:rRNA from 1 species
UUUAAUUAUCAUAUAUAAAAGUGAAAAUAUAAAAUAUAAAUUAAUUUUAGUUGGGGCAACUGGGAGGGAUAAAAAUCUUUUAUUAAAUCGUUUAUAGUAAUAUUUAUAUUUAUGAUCCAAAUUAGUUAAUUUUGAACUUAGAAU